AGUUUUAGUUUUACCAAUGACCUUUCACCUUGCGACAUGACUACAUUUCGGGUAUUGAUAAGACGCCUGCAAGCCACAGCUCGGUCUUUUCAGCUCCGGACGAGCGCGACCUUCCUUCCUCCCCCGAUAGGAAUCGGUGACGAGGAUUAAGCCUCACGAGAGGCUGGAUUCAGAGUUCAACGACAUCUGCGAGGGAAAGGGCGAUUUGUUCAUCAGAAGAUGGGAUGCCAUCAUCAUUCCACAUCUGAUCGAUGUUGCGCUUAAGGAGAAGAGUGAAAUUGCUGCCCUCGUUCAGGGAGUGACAGACCUUACAGAUGAUGAGAAGACCUACAAGAUGUUGGUUGCACUAACUCGUCUUCUACCUCCAGUCGCCUCCAGUCGCUGCAGUGUCAAGUCGGCAAUCACCCAUCUUAUUGAUUUUGUACCCACUGGAACUAACAUCUCAACACUCUGUGAUGCCACUGAGUCUGAGGGCAAAGCACUCCAGCCACAUCUCGUUUCUGUUGGUCGCUUCGAGGAUGCAGCACAGCAGUACGUCAUCGUUGGGAAGAGUGACAAAGUCAUCAUUCCACUGGAUGAAGAUCUCACUGGUGCUGUGGACAAACUGUUCAAGGUCUUCUGGGUCUGCAACCUUUCAUAUCCACCUGAACUCUCCUCAGUUUUUGCAUUCUUGAAGUAUGUCUACAAUAUCCCUCUCUCCACAACCAGGGAGGCGCGGGUAAUGGACCUAAUUUCCAAAAUGAACUCAGUUCAGUAAUCAUAACAGCAAUGUAUAUUUGUCCAAAAUGCAAUAUGUACUUCAAGCAGAGUAAGAUUCUGAUUUGGCACUUGCGUGAAGUGCAUGCAUUGUCAGAUCAAUUGGACUUCCCUCUGAUUUGCAGCCAGGAUGGUGGCCCUAGGACAUACCAAUGUAUUAAUUAUUUUUCCAAACACUUGAAUCGACAACACAAAAUUACAAAUGAUUUUGAGGAUCAUCAGCCAAAUCCACAGCCUUAUCCUCAGCCUGAUCCACUACACGCCACCUCAUCAGAAUUGCCUCGUCAAAAUGAAGCUGAAGAGCUCUCCAACAAUAACUGUUGUGCAGAGGGCAUUGUUGAGCCUGAACGCUCUCUGACUAGGCCCAAGGGGGCUACAGCAAGAUUUGUUGCAAACAUGUAUAGUGGUUCAAAUGUUCGCCUCACUGAUGUAACCCGAACUGUAAACAAUGUGAAGGACCUAAUGGAAUCUACUGUAAGUGGAUUGUAAGAUUCAGUCAUUUCAACUUUAAAAAGCUUGGGUGUGCCAGAGAACGAUGAAAGGGUGCAGUCGCUCAUGUGUGACUUUGAGAGUGCCAAACACACGUUUGAUGAAAUUGAUACACCCCAUAAAAUGAGCACAUAUUUCUGGAUGUUUUGUAUUUCGACUACCAUUUUUAUGCAUAUGUGGUGAAGGUGUCGAAGACCAUCGAACUGGUCAUACUAGAUGAUUUGGCUGAUUUUAGGCCCCUUGAUAUUGUACGAGAUUUCAACUCAGAUAAACUGUAUAUAAACCCUAAAUAUAAAAUCUUUUAAAUCUGA